GCCUGGCUGGCUCAGUCAGUAGAGCAUGAGACUCUUGAUCUAAGGAUUAUGAGUUCAAGCCCCAUGUUUGGUA
rnacentral:tRNA from 1 species